CCCACCCUGCGGUGUUCGAGACUUAACGGAGAAUCUGUCCUUUACUCUUUAGCAACCGAGAGCUUGACCCACGUAGAUAGCUGUCCUGCCGUCAACCGGAAGACAAAAAUCUACGAGGAAAGCACUCACCUUAGACACAAAAGGCUAAGAACUCCCACUAAUACGGCACAGGCGGGGCCUUU
rnacentral:other from 1 species